GAGCUGACAGAAGUUGCCCAUUACAUUGGAGCUGGUGACCAAUGAGGUUCGUAUGAUUGUAGGACAAGUUUGCCCUCAGGAGAGGCUUGCCAAUCUUCUCUGACAUUUGGUUGGGGAUGGCAGAGAAACAUCAGUGUUCCAGGUAUUUGGCCCUCUUGUGUCCUAGUCCACUAGGUGGCUGAUCCUGGAGAUGGCUGAUCCUGGAGGUGGCUGAUCCUAGGGCGGACAGUAUGGCCUUCCUCCUCCAGAAGUUCCAACUUGCAGACUCAAGCCCCUUUCCCAUCCCUUUCAGUUGUCACUGCACUCAGUAGAAGAUUUGUGCAACCAUUGGGUAUAAGCGCAAGUGUCACCAGAGAAACACUUUCUGAUUAAAUGGAGCCAUCUUGCUGUAGCAGCAUCUGAAUAUCAGAGGGAUACUGAGGGGGUGCAGUAAUACUCCUAAAUUCCCUUGAAUUUUAGCCCUUUUCUGUGAAAGCCAUAAGACAACAGUUAAGGAUACUGAUGCUGCUGCUAUGGCUCUGUGUCUGUGAUGGGAAAUACUGGUUGCCAAGCAGCAGGGAAUGGACAUAAUCGUGCUGCCUAGCAACAGCAGCGGCGUGGUCACUCACGUAGAUUUCUGCGCCUCUUCCUGUUUGGUCUGUAGGAAAAUGCAGAUGGCUUCUGUGGGCCACUGUCACCCUGGCCACAGUGAGGUACAGGAAAAUAUUAUGAGCCAGGGUAGGUCUGAGAGUUGGGAACUCUGGACUGUUCCUAAAGAGUUAAUAACCAAGGCUUGUGCCGUCCAGGUCCAGGAUGCCGUGUGGGUCAGUGUGUCUUGCCAAAGGUGGCAUCAGCCAGUGGAAUCAGUUGGGCUCUCCGUCUGGCAGAUCUGUCUCCCUCAGCUGCUCCUCCUCCAGUUUCCAGUCUUGGAGUUCAUAUACAGUAAAUCUUUCUCUUAA
rnacentral:lncRNA from 1 species